rnacentral:rRNA from 1 species
AUCCUGGCUCAGAUUGAACGCUGGCGGCAGGCCUAACACAUGCAAGUCGAGCGGUAACACAAGGGAGCUUGCUCCUGAGGUGACGAGCGGCGGACGGGUGAGUAAUGCCUAGGGAUCUGCCCAGUCGAGGGGGAUAACAGUUGGAAACGACUGCUAAUACCGCAUACGCCCUACGGGGGAAAGGAGGGGACCUUCGGGCCUUCCGCGAUUGGAUGAACCUAGGUGGGAUUAGCUAGUUGGUGAGGUAAUGGCUCACCAAGGCGACGAUCCCUAGCUGUUCUGAGAGGAUGAUCAGCCACACUGGGACUGAGACAC